GAGUUUGAUCCUGGCUCAGAUUGAACGCUGGCGGCAGGCCUAACACAUGCAAGUCGAGCGGCAGCGGGAAGAUAGCUUGCUAUCUUCGCCGACGAGCGGCGGACGGGUGAGUAAUACCUGGGGAUCUGCCCAAUCGAGGGGGAUAACAGUUGGAAACGACUGCUAAUACCGCAUACGCCCUACGGGGGAAAGGAGGGGACCUUCGGGCCUUCCGCGAUUGGAUGAACCCAGGCGGGAUUAGCUAGUAGGUGAGGUAAUGGCUCACCUAGGCGACGAUCCCUAGCUGUUCUGAGAGGAUGGACAGCCACACUGGAACUGAGACACGGUCCAGACUCCUACGGGAGGCAGCAGUGGGGAAUAUUGGACAAUGGGGGAAACCCUGAUCCAGCCAUGCCGCGUGUGUGAAGAAGGCCUUCGGGUUGUAAAGCACUUUCAGUGGGGAGGAAAGGUUGAUGGUUAAUACCUAUCAGCUGUGACGUUACCCACAGAAGAAGCACCGGCUAACUCCGUGCCAGCAGCCGCGGUAAUACGGAGGGUGCAAGCGUUAAUCGGAAUUACUGGGCGUAAAGCGUGCGCAGGCGGUCUGUUAAGCGAGAUGUGAAAGCCCCGGGCUCAACCUGGGAACUGCAUUUCGAACUGGCAGACUAGAGUCUUGUAGAGGGGGGUAGAAUUCCAGGUGUAGCGGUGAAAUGCGUAGAGAUCUGGAGGAAUACCGGUGGCGAAGGCGGCCCCCUGGACAAAGACUGACGCUCAGGCACGAAAGCGUGGGGGAGCAAACAGGAUUAGAUACCCUGGGUAGUCCACGCCCGUAAAACGAUGUCUACUCCGAAGUUUGGUGUCUUUGAACACUGGGGCUCUCAAAGCUAACGCCAUUAAAGUAAAACCGCCCUGGGGGAGUAACGGCCCCCAAGGUUAAAAACUCAAAAUGAAAUUGAACGGGGGGGCCCCCCACAAAAACGGGGUGGGGACCAGUGGGGGGGUU
rnacentral:rRNA from 1 species